GACGUAGGGCGCGAGCGUUGUCCGGAUUUAUUGGGCGUAAAGAGCUCGUAGGCGGCUUGUUGCGUCGGCUGUGAAAACCCGCAGCUCAACUGUGGGCUUGCAGCCGAUACGGGCAGGCUAGAAUUCGGUAGGGGAGACUGGAAUUCCUGGUGUAGCGGUGAAAUUCGUAGAUAUUCGGAAGAACACCAGUGGCGAAGGCGACUCACUGGACAUGUAUUGACGCUGAGGAGCGAAAGCGUGGGGAGCGAACAGG
rnacentral:rRNA from 1 species